UUUUGACAGUGGUACGCUCAUAUCAGACAACACAAACCGCAAAAUUGUUAACCAAUCUGUCAACGAGGAUAGUUGCUAUAAAACGAGUUUAGAUCUUUUAAAAAAUUAAAAGAGCGUUCCAAAAAAAGAACGGAUGGGAAAGGAAGGUGAGGACACAUACUGAAAUAUCUUAUUUGCGAUCCCAGCGAAGUUUCACUGACACUGUUGGAAAAAGCUAUAAUUUUAGCAUGCCAGAGGAGUUGGAUUGCUAGCAAACAAGCUAAGCGUACUUUAAAAAAGCUGUAAGAUGGCAACACAGAGAGAAAUCUGGUCAGUCUGCAAUGAACCAGGAGGUGGAGAGAGCUGAACAAUUUCAGACCCUGGGGCCUUUGCAAUACACUUCUCAUCUGGAGAAAAGUCUGUGUGUCACUCCCAAAUGGGUCAGGGCUCUACAGUGUGAACAUUUUACUUGCAAUUAAUUUAGGAGCACCAGUGCACCUAGAAAAAGGAUUCUGGCUGUAUUACCUCAAAUCUUUUUCAUUGUGCCCCUAAAUUUCAUUUUGCGCCUACAUUGUUCAAUAUAGGUGAACACAUGCUCUUGGGGUACAUGCUCUGAAUAAUCAGUAACCACUUGAUCCAAGGACUUUGGUGCUUUUUGUGUUGUUGCGUAAACAUAUUCAAUUACAUCAGAGGCCAGCAGGCAGAUGCAAAGGGUGAAUUUGAGUGUGACCUUGUCAUUCACCAGGCCAGCCAAUGUUUACCAUUUCACUGUUAACAUGUAACAUCCUAGUGUUUAAUGUAAGGGUCAAAGUAUUAAAGCAGCUUUAAAAAACAAA